CAAAGAGCAAGCCCCGUCACCCCUCGCUCGACUUCCCGCAGAAACCCUCCCACCUUCCAGCUUCGCCAUGCUCUGUAAUUCCUUCUCUCAGGGUCACCCAGGCUGGAGUGCACUGGCAUGAUCACAGCUCACUGCAGACUCAAUCUCCCAGGUUCAGGUGAUCCUCCCACCUCAGUUUCCCAAGUAGCUGCGACUACAGGCGCAUGCCACCACACCUGGCUAAUUUUUUUAUUUUUUGUAGAGAUGGGGUCUCAUUUUGUUGCCUAGGCUGGUCUCAAACUCCUGGGCUCAAGUGAUCCUCCUGUCCCAGCCUACCAAAGUGCUGGAAUUACAAGCAUGAGCCACCACUCUGGGCUCUACAUGCUUAUUUCAACAAGGCAGUGGUAUAUGGAAAGAGCAUGGACCUGAGGAAUCAGGGUAACAUUCUUGUUAUGUAGAACACACAGGACUUCCUAUUAUGAUGAAUGACAACUUCCAUUGAUUGAGCAGCUCCCAUACACCAAACACAGUGCUAGGCCUUUAGAAGCAUGAACACAUUUCAUCAUUAUCAUCAU